AGGACGAACGCUGGCGGCGUGCUUAACACAUGCAAGUCGAACGAGAUCCAUUUGGUGGUAACACCAGAGAAGAUCUAGUGGCGAACGGGUGAGUAACACGUGAGCAACCUACCCCGAAGAUUGGGAUAACACCGGGAAACCGAUGCUAAUACCGAAUACCCCCACCGGGUCACAUGGCCUGAUGAGGAAAUGGGUUUCUGCUUCGGGAGGGGCUCGCGGCCUAUCAGCUUGUUGGCAGGGUAAUGGCCUACCAAGGCAACGACGGGUAGCUGGUCUGAGAGGACGACCAGCCACACUGGGACUGAGACACGGCCCAGACUCCUACGGGAGGCAGC
rnacentral:rRNA from 1 species